GAUGAACGCUGGCGGCGUGCCUAAUACAUGCAAGUCGAGCGAACAGACGAGGAGCUUGCUCCUCUGACGUUAGCGGCGGACGGGUGAGUAACACGUGGAUAACCUACCUAUAAGACUGGGAUAACUUCGGGAAACCGGAGCUAAUACCGGAUAAUAUAUUGAACCGCACGGUUCAAUAGUGAAAGACGGUUUUGCUGUCACUUAUAGAUGGAUUCGCGCCGCAUUAGCUAGUUGGUAAGGUAACGGCUUACCAAGGCAACGAUGCGUAGCCGACCUGAUAGGGGGAUCGGCCACACUGGAACUGAGACACGGUCCAGACUCCUACGGGAGGCAGCAGUAGGGAAUCUUCCGCAAUGGGCGAAAGCCUGACGGAGCAACGCCGCGUGAGUGAUGAAGGUCUUCGGAUCGUAAAACUCUGUUAUUAGGGAAGAACAAAUGUGUAAGUAACUAUGCACGUCUUGACGGUACCUAAUCAGAAAGCAACGGCUAACUACGUG
rnacentral:rRNA from 1 species